rnacentral:rRNA from 1 species
UACGAAGGGGCUAGCGUUGUUCGGAUUUACUGGGCGUAAAGCGCGCGUAGGCGGAUCGUUAAGUCGGGGGUGAAAUCCUGGAGCUCAACUCCAGAACUGCCUUCGAUACUGGCGAUCUCGAGUCCGGAAGAGGUGAGUGGAACUCCUAGUGUAGAGGUGGAAUUCGUAGAUAUUAGGAAGAACACCAGUGGCGAAGGCGGCUCACUGGUCCGGUACUGACGCUGAGGCGCGAAAGCGUGGGGAGCGAACAGG